GGGAGAACGCCGUAUAAAGGCCCAACACAGGAAAAUUAUAUCAAAGUUCACCACAUCCCACCAUGCAGCUGUUACCAAUUUUGAUCGGCUUAGUAGCCCUAGUCUUUAUGUCGAACCCCGCAUCGGCUGAGCCAGCACGCGGUAUUCCCCGUAAUGGAAAAAUCAAGGGCUGAGAUGUGACUGCCUAAAAGUAUGCGGCUAAAACUAAACAUAUAAAAACUUAUUAAAAUAAAAAUAUAUUUUUUCCAAAUCCAAUGUAAGCGUGGAUUUUUUUUUAA